GGACCUGUGCCUGAAUACUAGGACCACUUUGAUAGAGUGUAUUAUGGAGGUUAAAGUCCUCCCAGCUCCU
rnacentral:tRNA from 1 species